AUGGCAUGUUUUAUUUUGCUGUGAGCAAAAUUUGAAAAAUAUAACAAUCAACUUGGUAUAAUCUUGUAGUUACCAGUUUGGCUUUCAUAUGUUAAUCUCCAGGGCAAGCAAGCUGAUCUGUCUGAUCUUAAUGUGGAUUAUGCAAUUCAGAGAAAGCAGAGCAUAUCAACAUUUAUCAGCUCCCCCAUAGUUGAGGAUAUUAUGACCACCAUAUCUGCAGCUGAUAUGAAAUCCCAGAUUCCUGUUUGUCUUGAUGUCACUCAAUCCUCUUUCAAUCUACGAGCGUGCACUACAUUUGAUCUUCAUAUGCACAAGCACAAACCACCCGCUAAUGAUGGUAUAAAAGGAAAUGAUAUUCUUGCCAUGCCACCAUAUAACUUUGGGGAGAAAUUUCAGGAUAUGCACGAUGUUAUUUUGAUAUUGGAUGAUCGUGAAAAUUU